CUGUUUCCCCGCGCAUCAAAAGUGCAAUUUGCAUUCCGAUGGAUGAAAGAAGCGUCGACGGGAUUGCUUGCCACAGGACACAGUGUGGCGAGUAUGGGCGAAUCAUGCAGCUCGUUUAUAGCCGCCUGAGAGAAGAUGAGACGAUCGCGUAAGUUGCGCGCGAAUAGAUACCUUGUAUAGAUCAUGAUGGACAUAAACAAGACGAUGAUGAAAAAACACUACGGCUGCGUGUUCAAGGAACCGUGAAACGAUACCGACGAAAAUUUUAUGGUAUGGCGAACAUGAGAGAGGAAUCAAUAAAAUUUUAUUCGUGCAAUAAGUCACCGAUAAAAAGAGUCUGAGUAAAAUCGUAAUCAGUGAUUGGAUCUGUAAUCAAGUAUUAUAGAAACUAUUCUUUGGAAAGCGGUUACCAAGGAAAUAAUGACCAUCUCCGGAGCUUGAAGGCGACAGAGGCCAACCUCUCACUGAUCUCUACGUUUGAUUGAUUGAUGUGAUGAUACGCUAAGUGAUCUGACACAAGAACCGUUUCCAACGUCUCAUACUGGGUGUUUAUUACGACAGGAUGAAAAUUUAUGAACCUAAAUUAUUAAGAAUAUUUUAACAAUUAGAAUUAUAACAACAUUAUUAAUACCCAAACAAAUUGCGUAAAGUUAUUGUUUAAAUAUGCAACUACAAAAAAAUUAUAAAAGGAAGUAAAAGUGAAGAUUAAGUGGAAACGAUAUAUAGCAUUCCUUGUACACUUUUUUUCCUAGAGGAGCAAAGUGUUUAACCAUCAUCAUAACACAUUAAAUUUGUAUCACGAUUAAAAACAUUUGAGACUCGAUAUAUAAUAUAGUUAUGUAAUGCCCGAUGCAGAUGCGCAGUGCAAUAUCCUUGUAAUUACUCAACACGUUUGGUCACUCGAAUCACUGGAAUUUUUACGAUACCCACACGCAACAUUUCAUCAUACUCAUGCAAAUUGAAGUUGUCUUAUACCGGUCAUUUCACUUAAAUAUUAGCUAAAUAAAAUCGUCAAUUUCGCCAACUUAAUAUUUGGGAAUUAAGAUUACUGCUCGACUCUAACAAAGUUGCAAAUAAAUCCAUAUAUUUAUCCAAUUUCAUACAGAUAACAGUGUAUUACUCUUUAUCAUUUAUUAUUUUACGACACAUAAAGAGAACUGAUGACCUUUAUCUUGUUCUUUCAGCUACGUAAGUGAAAUUUCAUUAAUUACAAUAAAGUAUAAUUCUCUUAAUUGAGUGCCUCAGAAUAAUAUUGGUCUAACU